rnacentral:rRNA from 1 species
AUACGGAGGGUGCAAGCGUUGUCCGGAUUUAUUGGGUUUAAAGGGUGUGUAGGCGGUGUAUUAAGUCAGUGGUGAAAGCCUGCGGCUCAACCGUAGAACUGCCAUUGAUACUGACACACUUGAGUAUGGACGAGGUAGGCGGAAUUUAUGGUGUAGCGGUGAAAUGCAUAGAUACCAUAAAGAACACCGAUAGCGAAGGCAGCUUACUAGGCCAUAACUGACGCUGAGGCACGAAAGCGUGGGGAGCGAACAGAAUUAGAUACCCCAGUAGUCC